CUGGUCUCAAAUCAGGUAGGAUC
rnacentral:rRNA from 1 species